rnacentral:rRNA from 1 species
GAUGAACGCUGGCGGCGUGCCUAAUACAUGCAAGUCGAGCGAACGGACGAGAAGCUUGCUUCUCUGAUGUUAGCGGCGGACGGGUGAGUAACACGUGGAUAACCUACCUAUAAGACUGGGAUAACUUCGGGAAACCGGAGCUAAUACCGGAUAAUAUUUUGAACCGCAUGGUUCAAAAGUGAAAGACGGUCUUGCUGUCACUUAUAGAUGGAUCCGCGCUGCAUUAGCUAGUUGGUAAGGUAACGGCUUACCAAGGCAACGAUGCAUAGCCGACCUGAGAUGGUGAUCGGCCACACUGGAACUGAGACACGGUCCAGACUCCUACGGGAGGCAGCAGUAGGGAAUCUUCAGCAAUGGGCGAAAGCCUGACGGAGCAACGCCGCGUGAGUGAUGAAGGUCUUCGGAUCGUAAAACUCUGUUAUUAGGGAAGAACAUAUGUGUAAGUAACUGUGCGCAUCUUGACGGUACCUAAUCAGAAAGCCACGGCUAACUACGUG